CAGCCCCCUGGAGACCCACUCUACCUCCACUACUGCACCCUCACUUGAUGGCCGACAGUGGCCAGACUCCACACGACCACUUCCGAGGUGCCCUCCUGCCAGCCCCUGACCAUGCAAGUUGCUUUCCUCAGGUCCCCUGUGGAUCACAGGGCUCCCACCUGCCUCCUGGGCUGUGUGUCACACUCCAUUGUCAGACCACCUUUGGAGACAGGGAUCGGGUCCUAUCGCCCUCCCUUUGCAGCUCCACUGCCCACAGCGGGCCUGGAGGGAGCACUGACCCCUGUGAUUGGACUCUGACUCCUCUCCACAGACUUUGUGCAAAUGAGCUCACUGAAUC
rnacentral:lncRNA from 1 species